UCAGACUUUAACGUGCAUCAGAAUCACCUGGCCACCAAGUAAAGACACUGACGGUUGGGCCCCACCCUCCAGUUUCUGAUUCAGUAGUUCUGGGGUGGACUUGAGAAUUUGCAUUUCUAACCAGUUCCCAGGUGUUGCCGAUGCAGCCAGACGCCAUAGUUUGCAAACCACUGAGGCAGACGGAGCUAUCAAAGCUCAAAGUGGAGAAGGUCUAUACAGUCAGCAAAAGCAAGACCUGGAGCUGACUGUGGCUCAGAGCAUGAGCUCCAUAUUGCAAAAUUCAGCCUUAAACUGAAGAAAGAAGGAAAAACCAUGAGGCCAUUCAGGUUAUGACCUAAAUCAAAAUCCCUCAUACAGUGGGGGUGAUGAAUAGAUUCAAGGCAUUAGAUCUGGUAGACAGAGUGCCUGAAGAACUAUGGACAGAGGUUCCUAACAUUGUACAGGAGGCAGUGGCCAAAGCCACCUCCACCCCCACAAAAAAAUGAAAGAAGGCAAAGUCAUUGUCUGAGGAGGCUUUACAAAUAGCUGAGGAAGAGAAGCGAAAGGCAAGGGAGAAAAGGAAAGAUAUAUCCAUCUGAAUGCAGAGUUCCAGAGAACAGCAAAUCUAUUGUAAUAAAGAAGGCCUUCUUAAAUGAACAAUGCAAAGAAAUAGAGGAAAACAACAGAAUGAGAAAGACCAGUGAUCUCUUCAAGAAAACUGGAGACAUCAAGGGAACCCAUUCCAUGCAAGAAUAGGCAUGAUAAAGGACAGAAACAGUAAGGAUCUAACAGAAACAGAAGAGAUUAAGAAGAGGUGGCAACAAUACACAGAAGAACUGUACAAAAAAUAUCUUAAUGACUUGGAUAACCAUAAUGAUGUGGUCACAUACCUACAGGUGAAGAUCCUGAAGUGUGAUGUCAAGUGGGCCUUAGGAAGCAUUACUAAUAACAAAGCUAGUGGAGGUGAUCGAAUUCCAACUUAGCUAUUUCAGAUCCUAAAAGAUGAUGCUGUGAAAGUGCUGCACUCAAUAUACCUUCAAAUUUGGAAAACUCAGCGGUGGCCACAGGACUGGAAAAGGUCAGUUUUCAUUCCAAUCCCAAAGAAAGGCAAUGCCAAAGAAUGUUCAGUUGUGCUUAUUUCACAUGCUAGUAAGUUUAUGCUCAAAAUCCUUUAAAUCAGGACUUCAGCAGUACACGAACCAAGAAUUUUCAGAUGUUCAAGCUGGAUUUAGAAAAGGCAGGGGAACCAGAGAUCAAAUUGCCAACAUUCAUUGGAUUAUAGAGAAAGCAAGGGAUUUCCAGAAAAACAUUUACUUCUGUUUCAUUGACUACACUAAAGCCUUUGACUGUGUGGAUCCCAACAAACUGUGGAAAAUGCUUAAAGAGAUGGAAAUACCAGACCACCUUACCUGUCUCCUGAGAAAGCUGUAUGCAGGUCAGGAAGCAACAGUUAGAACUGGACAUGGAACAAUGGACUGGUUAAAGCUGGGAAAGG
ensembl:lncRNA